rnacentral:rRNA from 1 species
CUACGGGAGGCAGCAGUGGGGAAUCUUAGACAAUGGGCGCAAGCCUGAUCUAGCCAUGCCGCGUGAGUGAUGAAGGCCUUAGGGUCGUAAAGCUCUUUCGCCUGUGAAGAUAAUGACUGUAGCAGGUAAAGAAACCCCGGCUAACUCCGUGCCAGCAGCCGCGGUAAUACGGAGGGGGUUAGCGUUGUUCGGAAUUACUGGGCGUAAAGCGCGCGUAGGCGGACUAUUAAGUCAGAGGUGAAAUCCCAGGGCUCAACCCUGGAACUGCCUUUGAUACUGGUAGUCUUGAGUUCGAGAGAGGUGAGUGGAAUUCCGAGUGUAGAGGUGAAAUUCGUAGAUAUUCGGAGGA